CCUACGGGAUGCAGCAGUAGGGCAUCUUCCACAAUGGGCGAAAGCCUGAUGGAGCAACGCCGCGUGGGUGAAGAAGGUCUUCGGAUCGUAAAACCCUGUUGUUAGAGAAGAAAGUGCGUGAGAGUAACUGUUCACGUUUCGACGGUAUCUAACCAGAAAGCCACGGCUAACUACGUGCCAGCAGCCGCGGUAAUACGUAGGUGGCAAGCGUUAUCCGGAUUUAUUGGGCGUAAAGGGAACGCAGGCGGUCUUUUAAGUCUGAUGUGAAAGACUUCGGCUUAACCGGAGUAGUGCAUUGGAAACUGGGAGACGUGAGUGCAGAAGAGGAGAGUGGAACUCCGUGUGUAGCGGUGAAAUGCGUAGAGAUAUGGAAGAACACCAGUGGCGAAAGCGGCUCUCUGGUCUGUAACUGAUGCUGAGGUUCGAAAGCGUGGGUAGCAAACAGGAUUAGAUACCCUAGUAGUC
rnacentral:rRNA from 1 species